GCUGACAGCUGCCUGUGGAAUGAAAGCAAAAGCCAGCUUCUCAGAGGUACUGUGGACGUCACCGCAGAGAAGUUGUGGGAGCUCGGAAUCGGCGUGGCACAGGUGAUGAAGGUGAAUGUGGUGACUGAAGGAAGACCAGAGAGCGUGUAGCUGCCAUUGCGGAUGUUCCUUCAGUACAGAUAGCGACCCUGAGAACUCCA